rnacentral:misc_RNA from 1 species
UGGAAAAAUUGAUCGGACUCGUCAUCUUUACUUUUUCUUCAUCACAGAGAAACCCUCUUCACUACAUCUAUAUAAGAAUUAAAAACAAAUAGUUUCCUAUGAGAAAAAUACUCCAUUAAGCAAUACAAAGGGCUCAGAGAGUUGCUGUAUGUGCUCAAAGAAGAGCUUGAACAAAACAAGCUCAACUCAUACAAGAGGUGUCAGAAUUUAAAGCACUCUUCAUCUUUGCCCAUUAUUCUUCUUCAACACUUCUCAUAAGAACCAUAUA